rnacentral:rRNA from 1 species
ACGCUCGACACCUACGUGAGGCAGCAGUGGGGAAUAUUGCACAAUGGGGGAAACCCUGAUGCAGCGACGCCGCGUGAGUGAAGAAGUAUUUCGGUAUGUAAAGCUCUAUCAGCAGGGAAGAAGAUGACGGUACCUGAGUAAGAAGCCCCGGCUAACUACGUGCCAGCAGCCGGCGGUAAUCUGAGGCGGGCUGGCAAGGC